UCUCCUCUCUCUCUCUCUCUCCUUCCUUCUCUCAUUUGCUCGCCGUUACCUCUUCUGUUCGAGAAAGGCGUCACCACCUCCUCAUCUUCAAACGGGCAUCAUCAAUGCGACGAGGAAGGCUCACGCUCUUGUGGAUUGUGGAGAUCGGGGCGGCGAUGAUGAGCAUCAGUUCACCAACCUUUACGAGUGAAAUCUACCAAUUAUAUGAAACAAUCCAUUUGAGUUUUGCAUCCAAUUGCUGAUUCUAUCAAAACCAAAAGAUCUGGGGAGUGUAUUUCGACAACUUCUUCCAAAGACUGGUUGAAGUAGAUGACGGAAACUAUGGAUCAACCACUAUUCAUGAGUUGAUAGUACUUCAAGCAUGAAUGAUAGUGGGAAUCUAGUAAAUACAAGAGCAAGUCAAAAAAGGAAUGGAUUCUCUUAACCCGUAACCUCUGUUUUUCUUUCUCUUUCUUUUAUUUAUCACAUCUCCGCUCAAAAUCUUAUGUUGGAACUGCAGGGUGGCCUCAAAUCCUCACACAGUCAACCGCAUCAAAGACUUUGCGACUAGAUUAAACCCUCACCUCAUCUGCUUGGUAGAAACCAAAGCUGACGCUUCUACGACUCAACUUUUGCAAAAUUUUCCGAAAGAAAUGGGAAUGGGCUUCCAACCCAGGCGUUAAGUCUCUCAGAAAACUCCAAGAAUCAAGUGAGACAGGGACAAAUAUUGAAGAGCCUUGUAUCCGAAUGGGGAAGGAGAUGGUGGGGUUCAAUAAUCGAGGAAGGGAGACAAAUUGGAAUAAUCCCAGAAGAAUUAAUGAAAGUUCGUGGACUCCUAAAUCUGUUAUCUUCAAACCCCGCUAGGGCAAUCGAAUGGUCUCAUGUGCUUGAUUGGAAGUAAUAUCCAGUUCCAUGGAGUGUUCCUUUACAGCUGGAGUUAAUUAUUCAGUGAUGCUAUAUCUAUGACAUGAUGCUCUCUAACAUAUGUUCAUGCUACGUACAUUAUGCAACAAAAGGAAAAAUGAUAUUUUAGUAAACCAAAACAAGUAUUGUAAUUCUUGCUCAAAUGUAUGUCUUUAGGCUUGUUUAUUUAAUGAUUCAUCAAACACUGCUCAAAAGUCCCUCCAUUGUUCUUCUGAUAUGAUUCAUCCGGUUGUAAAAGAUGGGUUGCUUAGGCUCGCUUGCUACCUUUUCCAAGCAGGCUAGCAGUUGACUAGCUUUGAUUGUGGCCUAACCUGUAAUUAGAACAGAAUCACCAUCAAGUUGAUUUAGCAUAUUUUUAUGUUGCUACAACAUGUUCAAUGAUUGAUUGACCCCAACUUUUUUGAUUCAUGAACCCAUUUGAAUCAUAAUUCAGUGAAUUCACCUUAUAAGUCUCUAAUACUACCCCAAGCCAUUCUCAGUCACCAGGAGCUUCACCAUUGGCUGCAAUAGUCACCACCUUCCCUCACCGAAUUUGGCCUCAUUUUCCCUUGUUAGCAGCCCUAGAUUCCCCCAUCCAUAGGAACACUUCAAUAUCUUCCUGUUAAGGUUUCAAUGUUGCCAUUAUAUGGUGGAAUUUGCGGCCUUUGAUUUUUUUUUUUUUAAUUAAGAUAACCUUAUUGUUUUUAUGCCUUAAGAAUUUUGCUAAUGAUUUUGAACUCUUGCUUUGUUUCUAACUUUAUUAAUCGAUCCUUGAAAAAUGAGAAAUAGUUUAUUUUUGGACUCAUAUAUUUUCAUAAUAACCAUAAUAUGGUCCAUAGAUCCAUUAGAAGUUGGGGGCUAUGCAUGACUAAUAGGUCUUUUAUCGAUUCUUUGUGUGACUUAUACAAAAGGGAAUUUUGAACUUAGGUUUAUGAUUGAAAAUUUUAGAAGUUCUAUCUAUUAAUCUUGUCAUCUAAGUUGAGCAUUAUUUGUACUCUAUGAACUCAAAAA